AUGCAGGUAUUUCUCCCUGGCCAAAAUCCAAGCAAUCCCAAGCCAUCGGAGCACAUAUCGGAGAAAAGGAAGUUGAGCAUACGCAAGAGCUGCAACUGCAGGAAGGGGAGCCACACCCGAUGCCGAGAGAGGCACCGGGCGCCGCCGGACGUGCGAGCCCCGAAGGAGGGCAAGGUUGGGUGGCUGAGCGGAAUGAAGGCGAUGGGGAUGCGACGGUGGCCAGAGACUCGGGUGAGCGAGAAUCUAGAAGGGAUCAUGGAUCCAGGCCACCUGCACCGGAGCAACAGGGACUCCAUCGUGCUCAAUAAACUGGAAGGGGACGCAGCUCUUGGAGUGUGA
rnacentral:rRNA from 1 species